rnacentral:rRNA from 1 species
AGAGUUUGAUCCUGGCUCAGGAUGAACGCUGGCGGCGUGCUUAACACAUGCAAGUCGAACGAAGCAGGAGGGUGCUUGCACCUUCCUGACUGAGUGGCGGACGGGUGAGUAACACGUGGAUAAUCUGCCCUGCACAGGGGGACAACAGCUAGAAAUGGCUGCUAAUACCGCAUAAGCCUACAGCCUCGCAUGAGGGAGUAGGAAAAGAAAUUCGGUGCAGGAUGAGUCCGCGUCUGAUUAGCUAGUUGGAGGGGUAAGAGCCCACCAAGGCAACGAUCAGUAGCCGGCCUGAGAGGGCGACCGGCCACAUUGGGACUGAGACACGGCCCAAACUCCUACGGGAGGCAGCAGUGGGGAAUAUUGCACAAUGGGGGAAACCCUGAUGCAGCGACGCCGCGUGAGCGAGGAAGUAUUUCGGUAUGUAAAGCUCUAUCAGCAGGGACGAAAAAAAGACGGUACCUGACUAAGAAGCCCCGGCUAACUACGUG